rnacentral:rRNA from 1 species
AGGACUAACGCUGGCGGCGUGCCUAACACAUGCAAGUCGAACGAGGGGUAGCAAUACCCCUAGUGGCAGACGGGUGAGUAACACGUAGUCAACCUACCUCUUAAUGGGGGAUAACUAGCCGAAAGGUUAGCUAAUACCGCAUACGAUCGUCGAGUGGCAUCACACGACGAUGAAAGGAGCAAUCCGUUGAGAGAGGGGACUGCGUCCCAUUAGUUAGUUGGUGGGGUAAUGGCCUACCAAGACUCCGAUGGGUAGCUGGCUUGAGAGAGCGACCAGCCACACUGGAACUGAGACACGGUCCAGACUCCUACGGGAGGCAGCAGUGAGGAAUUUUCCGCAAUGGGGGAAACCCUGACGGAGCGACGCCGCGUGUGGGAAGAAGGCCUUCGGGUCGUAACCACUGUCGAGGGGACGAUAUUGACGGUACCCCUGGAGGAAGCCCGGCUAACUACGUGCCAGCAGCCGC